UACGUAGGGUGCAGGCGUUAAUCGGAAUUACUGGGCGUAAAGCGUGCGCAGGCGGUUUGCUAAGACAGAUGUGAAAUGCCCGGGCUUAACCUGGGAACUGCAUUUGUGACUGCAUGGCUAGAGUUUGGCAGAGGGGGGUAGAAUUCCACGUGUAGCAGUGAAAUGCGUAGAUAUGUGGAGGAACACCGAUGGCGAAGGCAGCCCCCUGGGUCAAGACUGACGCUCAUGCACGAAAGCGUGGGGAGCAAACAGG
rnacentral:rRNA from 1 species